UACGUAUGGAGCAAGCGUUAUCCGGAUUUACUGGGCGUAAAGCGCGUGUAGGAGGCAAUACAAGUUGGAUGUAAAAUCUCCCGGCUUAACUGGGAGGCGUCGUUCAAGACUGUAUAGCUGGAGCAGCGGAGAGGUAAUCGGAACUCCGGGAGUAGCGGUGAAAUGCGUAGAUAUCCGGAAGAACACCAGAGGCGAAAGCGGAUUACUGGCCGCCAGCUGACACUAAGACGCGAAAGCCAGGGUAGCAAAC
rnacentral:rRNA from 1 species